GGGACCAAAUGCAAGAUUCAGAGAAAGAAAUUUGAAAGAAAGUAAAGAUCUCAGUUCUGGAUGGAUCUCAUGAACGAUUUGAAGGAAAGACAUCUCUUCAAUGGAAGUCAUGACCACACAUGCCUUGUGCGGUGUGUCUUCAUGGAUAUGCUACAGAGAGAUCUUGAUGAAUGCAAGGACAGGUGGAAUAAACAUACCAUAAGACCUGUUAAACAAUCUUGCUGUCCAUCUGGUAAACCAGAUGUGAUGUAUCAUCUACCUCACAGGUAAUUUUUUGUUGUUUUUGUCUUCAACAUCUGGUUAAUUUAAAACCUCUUUGGGAACUCUAAAAAAUAAUUUGCCAAAACAAAAAUAAUGAACAAUGUGUUAACAGUAUGUCACUUUUUAUUCUAACAAUUUCAGAUGACAAUUUCUAAAAUGUAAAUUUAAAUACAAUUAAUCAUUUAGACAGGUUACAACAAUAGUCACAGCAGUAACAGUUUAGUGAAGAAAUGUAAAUAUAACUAAAUGUUUACUGUGCUUCUUCUAUUCCUAGGUUUGGUGGAACAUACUGUGGUUUCCCAGUCUCCCAGGAGCAAUUGGGACAGUUUGUGACAGAGACUAACAACAUUCAAUGUGGAGUUGAACACCUUCAGGCACAUUUUGAGAACCUCCAGAGACAGUGUGGCCUAGCACAUCCACAGAGUUGGGAAUCAUGUGUCGAAAACUAUAUCAAACUGAAAAACAUGGCGGACUUAUAAACAAACAAGAAUCCAAAUUUGAAGGUCGCACACAAACACUAAACAGUGUCAUAACUGAACAGGUUUGACAAGUUAAAUAGUUAGCAUUUUGUUUUGUUGUUAUGCAUUUGACCUUAAUAAAGCCCAAACCCAGGGGAGUUUUGAA